rnacentral:tRNA from 2 species
GCCGCUGUAGCUCAGUUGGUAGAGCACCGCAUUCGUAAUGCGUAGGUCGCCUGUUCGAGUCAGGCCAGCGGCACCA